AACUGAAGAGUUUGAUCAUGGCUCAGAUUGAACGCUGGCGGCAGGCUUAACACAUGCAAGUCGAGCGGGGGAAGGUAGCUUGCUACCGGACCUAGCGGCGGACGGGU
rnacentral:rRNA from 1 species